rnacentral:rRNA from 1 species
UACGUAGGGUGCGAGCGUUAAUCGGAAUUACUGGGCGUAAAGCGUGCGCAGGCGGCUUUGCAAGACAGAUGUGAAAUCCCCGGGCUCAACCUGGGAACUGCAUUUGUGACUGCAUGGCUAGAGCGCGGCAGAGGGGGAUGGAAUUCCGCGUGUAGCAGUGAAAUGCGUAGAUAUGCGGAGGAACACCGAUGGCGAAGGCAAUCCCCUGGGCCUGCACUGACGCUCAUGCACGAAAGCGUGGGGAGCAAACAGG